GUCCUUAUAGUGUAACGGAUAGCGCUUUGGACUUCUAAUCCAAAGGUCGUGGGUUCGAAUCCCACCUGGGAUG